GCCCCAGUGGCCUAAUGGAUAGGGCCUAAUGGAUAGGACACUGGCCUCCUAAGCCAGGGAUUGUGGGUUCAAGUCCCAUCUGGGGUG
rnacentral:tRNA from 1 species